rnacentral:sRNA from 1 species
CCCAGCGCUGAAGCGCUGGGCUACGAUGCGCCGGCCUUCGGCCU